GGCAGCAGCCGCGGGAACACCGGCGGCCCGAGUGGUGAUCGUGAUUAUUGGGUCUAAAGGGUCCGUAGCCGGUUUGGUCAGUCCUCCGGGAAAUCUGAUAGCUCAACUAUUAGGCUUUCGGGGGAUACUGCCAGACUUGGAACCGGGAGAGGUAAGAGGUACUACAGGGGUAGGAGUGAAAUCUUGUAAUCCCUGUGGGACCACCUGUGGCGAAGGCGUCUUACCAGAACGGGUUCGACGGUGAGGGACGAAAGCUGGGGGCACGAACCGGAUUAGAUACCCGGGUAGUCCCAGCCGUAAACGAUGCCCGCUAGGUGUCAGGCAUGGCGCGACCGUGUCUGGUGCCGCAGGGAAGCCGUGAAGCGAGCCACCUGGGAAGUACGGCCGCAAGGCUGAAACUUAAAGGAAUUGGCGGGGGAGCACAACAACGGGUGGAGCCCUGCGGUUUAAUUGGACUCAACGCCGGACAACUCACCGGGGGCGACAGCAAUAUGUAGGCCAAGCUGAAGACUUUGCCUGAAUCGCUGAGAAGAGGUGCAUGG
rnacentral:rRNA from 1 species